AACGUUCUUGUUUAUUAUGGCAGGUUGGUUUUGAGAUGGUGGACCUUUUGGCUGAUGCAGAAGGGAUAUCUGUGAACACCGUUAACUUCAAGGCCUUGUUUGGCAGAGGUCUUAUUGGACAUGUACCGGUUAUGCUGGCGAAAUCUCAGACUCUCAUGGACGCAAGUGAUGAGUCUGUCGCACAAAUUGUUUCCUUUUACAAGAUCUAAACCAAGUACUUAUGAUCUACGAAGAUUUAGCUUUGCCCUUUGGUACACUGCGUUUAUUGCCAAAAGGUGGUCACGGUGGGCACAAUGGGUAACAAAAGCUUCUCACUGUGUUAUCUUUACAGGAUGAGAAGCAUCAUCGAUGGCCUAAAAGGGAACUGCAAUUUUCCUCGUCUAAGAAUAGGGAUCAGCCAAUUAUAUUCUUAGCCAGUUCAGUAAAGAAGAACAUGAACAGUUGGAUAAUACAUUUCGAACCGGGUUAAAGGGAAUAAGGAUGUUGUUGUUUGAAGGGGUUAGCGACAGUGGAACCUUUGUCAACACUCCAAAAGACUAAUCUAUGGAGUAGCUCAAAAGGAGAGGGAUUGUUUGUUUCAUCACAUAGGAAAAACUGCAGGCCGUUUGAUUCAUUAAUAUGUUAUGUGUUCAAUUCAUAAUCCCUUUGAGAAAAUUUUAAAUCAGCAGG